UACAGAGGGGGCAAGCGUUGUUCGGAAUUACUGGGCGUAAAGGGCGCGUAGGCGGCCAACUAAGUCAGACGUGAAAUCCCCGAGCUCAACUCGGGAACUGCGUCCGAUACUGGCGGGCUUGAAUCCGGGAGAGGGAUGCGGAAUUCCAGGUGUAGCGGUGAAAUGGCGUAGAUAUCUGGAGGAACACCGGUGGCGAAGGCGGCAUCCUGGACCGGCAUUGACGCUGAGGCGCGAAAGCUAGGGGAGCAAACGGGG
rnacentral:rRNA from 1 species